rnacentral:rRNA from 1 species
AUUGAACGCUGGCGGCAGGCUUAACACAUGCAAGUCGAGCGAGCGGCGGACGGGUGAGUAAUGUCUGGGAAACUGCCUGAUGGAGGGGGAUAGCUACUGGAAACGGUAGCUAAUACCGCAUACCAUCAGAUGUGCACAGAUGGGAGUAGCUAGUGGGGGGGGUAAUGGCUCACCUAGGCGACGGUCCAUAGCUGGUCUGAGAGGAUGACCAUCCACACUGGAACGUAGACACGGUCCAGACUCCGACGGUAGGCAGCAUUGGGGAAUAUUGCACAAUGGGCGCAAGCCUGAUGCAGCCAUGCCGCGUGUGUGAAGAAGUCCUUCGGGUUGUAAAGCACUUUCAGCGAGGUGGCGUUACUCGCAGAAUAAGCACCGGCUAACUCCGUGCCAGCCGCCGCGGUAAUAC